UACGAAGGGAGCUAGCGUUGUUCGGAAUCACUGGGCGUAAAGCGCACGUAGGCGGACUUGUCAGUCAGGGGUGAAAUCCCGGGGCUCAACCUCGGAACUGCCUCUGAUACAGCAAGUCUUGAGUCCGGAAGAGGUGGGUGGAAUUCCUAGUGUAGAGGUGAAAUUCGUAGAUAUUAGGAAGAACACCGGUGGCGAAGGCGGCCCACUGGACCGGUUCUGACGCUGAGGCACGAAAGCGUGGGGAGCAAACAGG
rnacentral:rRNA from 1 species